AGAGAGAGAGAGAGAGAGAGAGAACGGCUUUCUCGUGAAGGGGAUAGUUCAUCGCGUUUAAGUGUCGGCAAACGAACGCCGCGCACCAGUGUUAGUGUGUUACCUGAAACGACAGAAGCUUAGCAAGGCGUGGUACCGUCAGCACGUUUCAGUACAAUGUAAACACGAAGGCCAGGUCGCGGACUCCAGUGUACUCGGCACCGCUGACGGGAACGGCCACGCGCGAAUUCCAGCUGACCUCUUCGUCGCGCGAUACGUCAUCGACCUCGAUUAUCAAAAUAGCGAAUUCUCGCGGUCGAAAUUUGAUUCUGAUAAAUCGUGCUCUUUCGGAAUAACGUGAAUCUCGAAUGACUUGGAAAUUUCACGAACUUUUGCCGCCGUUUGCUGAUGUCGAGGACUUUAAGAAUUCUGCGAGUUAAAACGUGCUCUUGAAGUUGACAGACUUUGGAAGUUAGCUGAGUGUUAACGGACGUGUGAAACUCACAGAAUUGAUAACAUUAACUUUGCAAAUAUUGAAAAUCGUACACUUGAAUAUGUUUUUAAUGUUUGAAUAUUACAUUUUUAAAUGGGAUUUAAAAAUUCAUUUAAAAUUUAGAUAAAGAGACAGAGAGACUUUUAAUUACUGAUAAAAUAUCGAGAUAAUAAAGAUAAACAAUUAUAAGUGAUAGAAAACGAGCAUACAAAUAGAUUGAAUUAAAUCGGAGCGCUAAGUUUUGUGCCAGAAGUGCAAACUUGCUUUCUUAACGUUAGAACAGUUGUAGAAAGACUUACGAACCUUCACAUAAAUUUGUUUCUGCGUGUCGCAAGCUGCAAGGCACGCAAGAAGUUGAUAACUUUGUCUCAAAAACUUUAGUGACAUUGGGGAUUUGCGAGGAAAAAUGGUGUGUCUGUGGAAUUCUCUGUGAGAUAAUGUAAAUAGGUGCAUAUUGCGUGAGCUAUUGUUGCGUGUCUUCUACAUAUUACGCAAUGAGCUUGUGGCGGUUUGGACCUUUCAAGGAUGGUAUGUAUUUCAAAAUAAAUUAGAGAGGGAGAGAGAUCCUUUAUGUGGUUCGUCUGAUUUAGUCGGUCAUCAUUCCUCGGUGUCUUAUUGUAAGUUAUAUAACAUACAUUUAAAAUUAUCACCUCGUAAAAAAUAGCUGUAGCCUCAUUGUCGGCGUAUUUAUUCAUUUAAAUUACGGCGAAUGCACUAUGUUCGCGUCAUCCUUCCCUGUUUCACCAAUCCAUCGCUUCGUACUUGCCACACCCACGAUUGUCAUCUCGAUUCCUAGACUUACGCAUGACUUACGCACAUACGUGUGCUCAUUUAAGAAAGCGCGUGGAAUUGAUAAAAUCAUCUGAUAUGAAUAGCAACUUUCGCUUGCCAUUCGUUGUAGCUCGUAACUACAAACAUGAUACAAUGAUUGAGAUUACAGGCAGAGAAAAGAGAGAAUUUAACAUUUUUUAAUUAUGGGAUUAUAACGACUGCAUUCUCAUAUAUUAUUUUAUAAUGCUAUAGGGAAAAAGUCCGCUCGUAAUCUCUAAAUUAAUAUCAAAUUUAAAUAAAAAGGUCUUUGAAAAGCGAAAAACAUGAAAUUUUGAAGACGCAUAUUUAUUUACAUGUGUCAAUACAUCAACAUUCCAUUCUACUUAAGAUAAAUAAUCAUACAAUUGUAGUGUCUUAGCAAAGUAUCGAUACUCAGAUAAACAGAUCUCUGACGUGAAAUAAAUCCCGAAGUUAAGAGCAUAAAAGAUAAAUACGCGAGGUUUGAGAUAUAAUUCAAACUUUUUAAAAUAUAUCUAAUUAAAUUAAAAAAAAAGAAAGAAUAAUUUACAAUCUCUUUAAUUAAAUUAAAAAAAAAAGAAAGAAUAAUUUACAAUCUCCCUCGCGCACCCACGUGCACAGUUAUAACU